rnacentral:rRNA from 1 species
GAUGAACGCUGGCUACAGGCUUAACACAUGCAAGUCGAGAGGAAACGACGGGGAAGCUUGCUUCCCCGGGCGUCGACCGGCGCACGGGUGAGUAACGCGUAUCCAACCUGCCUCUGACUGAGGGAUAACCCGUCGAAAGUCGGCCUAAUACCUCAUGGCAUCGUCUGCGGGCAUCCAACGACGAUUAAAGAUUUCAUCGGUCAGGGAUGGGGAUGCGUCUGAUUAGCUUGUUGGCGGGGUAACGGCCCACCAAGGCUACGAUCAGUAGGGGUUCUGAGAGGAAGGUCCCCCACAUUGGAACUGAGACACGGUCCAAACUCCUACGGGAGGCAGCAGUGAGGAAUAUUGGUCAAUGGGCGAGAGCCUGAACCAGCCAAGUAGCGUGCAGGAUGACGGCCCUAUGGGUUGUAAACUGCUUUUAUGCGGGGAUAAAGUGAGGGACGUGUCCUUCAUUGCAGGUACCGCAUGAAUAAGGACCGGCUAAUUCCGUGCCAGCAGCCGCGGUAAUACGGAAGGUCCUGGCGUUAUCCGGAUUUAUUGGGUUUAAAGGGAGCGUAGGCCGUGGAUUAAGCGUGUUGUGAAAUGCAGGUGCUCAACGUCUGCACUGCAGCGCGAACUGGUCCACUUGAGUGUGCGCAACGCAGGCGGAAUUCGUCGUGUAGCGGUGAAAUGCUUAGAUAUGACGAAGAACUCCGAUUGCGAAGGCAGCUUGCGGGAGCACAACUGACGCUGAAGCUCGAAAGUGCGGGUAUCGAACAGG